CAAACACACGACAAACAAUCACAAAUGGAUAUUGUUCAAAUGUGUUUUAAAUUUUGUUUUAAAAUACAUUCGUAAAAAGAGCAUACGGCACAGGUUUAAAUUAGUUUAUAGCUUUAUCUGCGAAUUACAAACACUUAACAGGUACAGAAAGUUGAUGGAAAAGUGACCUGAUGUCACUUAACUUGUAGCAAACAAGGAAACUGGUAAGUUAUGGAGACUUAUCAACUGAACUAAUCAUUGAACAAAAAACUGGUAAAGUUAUGAGAAAGUGAUUUAGUUAGUGAACUGUAACGAACAAAGGAACUGGUAAACUAAUGGAAAAGUGAUUCAUGUCACUGAAGUGGUAACGAACAAAAAACAUUAAGCAUGUUUUGAUAAUUUGCCAUUGGAAACUUUUACAGCUUUUGACUGCGAUAAUAUCAAAUUCUUCAAGCGAACUGACUCGAAAUGGUAACGGACGCCAACAUAUUCUCUUAUUAGCAUACAUCUGACCAAUCGGAUUGAAAUGAGAUUCAAUUAUUGACUCAAUUACCCGGAAAGUUUGAAACAUAUUAACUGUCACGAAAAUGAGGUUACCACGGGUUCUCAAGCCAGUGAAAUGGUCAAAAUUGAAAUCAGGUGGUAAUUCUAAUUCGUCGCAUUGCACUGAAUGUUUACAAUCAAGAAAUACUGUUACAGACGGUCGUGCUUUUAACAUGUAUCCACAUACAUCAUAUAUAGCGAUAUCAUUAAUAUAGUCGACUUUUUCUCGU